rnacentral:sRNA from 1 species
UAUCCCCCAAACUAAGGGGGGAUGAGAACCACCGACCGGGGUUCGACAACUGGCGCAGCCAGUUGGACAGACGACGAGCUUGCGAGGAGACUGCCCGAAGGGCGAGCGCAGCGAGUCAAUCCCCCCCCUCACCGCCA